rnacentral:rRNA from 1 species
CCCGCACAAGCGGCGGAGCAUGCGGAUUAAUUCGAUGCAACGCGAAGAACCUUACCAAGGCUUGACAUACACCGGUAACGCCCAGAGAUGGGUGCCCCUUUGUGGUCGGUGGACAGGUGGUGCAUGGUUGUCGUCAGCUCGUGUCGUGAGAUGUUGGGUUAAGUCCCGCAACGAGCGCAACCCUCGUCCUAUGUUGCCAGCGGGUCAUGCCGGGGACUCAUGGGAGACUGCCGGGGUCAACUCGGAGGAAGGUGGGGAUGACGUCAAAUCAUCAUGCCCCUUAUGUCUUGGGCUUCACGCAUGCUACAAUGGCCGGUACAAAGGGCUGCGAUACCGCGAGGUGGAGCGAAUCCCAGAAAGCCGGUCUCAGUUCGGAUUGGGGUCUGCAACUCGACCCCAUGAAGUCGGAGUCGCUAGUAAUCGCAGAUCAGCAACGCUGCGGUGAAUACGUUCCCGGGCCUU